rnacentral:rRNA from 1 species
GAUGAACGCUGGCGGCGUGCCUAAUACAUGCAAGUCGAGCGAACAGACGAGGAGCUUGCUCCUCUGACGUUAGCGGCGGACGGGUGAGUAACACGUGGAUAACCUACCUAUAAGACUGGGAUAACUUCGGGAAACCGGCGCUAAUACCGGAUAAUAUAUUGAACCGCAUGGUUCAAUAGUGAAAGACGGUUUUGCUGUCACUUAUAGAUGGAUCCGCGCCGCAUUAGCUAGUUGGUAAGGUAACGGCUUACCAAGGCAACGAUGCGUAGCCGACCUGAGAGGGUGAUCAGCCACACGGGAACUGAGACACGGUCCAGACUCCUACGGGAGGCAGCAGUAGGGAAUCUUCCGCAAUGGGCGAAAGCUUGACGGAGCAACGCCGCGUGAGUGAUGAAGGUCUUCGGAUCGUAAAACUCUGUUAUUAGGGAAGAACAAAUGUGUAAGUAACUAUGCACGUCUUGACGGUACCUAAUCAGAAAGCCACGGCUAACUACGUG